UUUCCGAGCGGGGACGCUGAUAGGUGCAGAGGCGGGGUUUUGGAGGCCUCGUUACCUUCCAGAGGAAUGCAGGCAGUAGUUCAGAUGGAACCGAAGAUUCCGAUUUUUCUACAGAUCUCGAGCACACAGACAGUUCAGAAAGUGAUGGCACAUCCCGACGAUCUGCUCGAGUCACCCGCUCCUCAGCCAGGCUAAGCCAGAGUUCUCAAGAUUCCAGUCCUGUUCGAAAUCUGCAGUCUUUUGGCACUGAGGAGCCUGCUUACUCUACCAGAAGAGUGACCCGUAGUCAGCAGCAGCCUACCCCAGUGACACCGAAAAAAUACCCUCUUCGGCAGACUCGUUCAUCUGGUUCAGAAACUGAGCAAGUGGUUGAUUUUUCAGAUAGAGAAACUAAAAAUACAGCUGAUCAUGAUGAGUCACCGCCUCGAACUCCAACUGGAAAUGCGCCUUCUUCUGAGUCUGACAUAGACAUCUCCAGCCCCAAUGUAUCUCACGAUGAGAGCAUUGCCAAGGACAUGUCCCUGAAGGACUCAGGCAGUGAUCUCUCUCAUCGCCCCAAGCGC
rnacentral:lncRNA from 1 species